rnacentral:rRNA from 1 species
UGGGGAAUUUUGGACAAUGGGCGAAAGCCUGAUCCAGCCAUGCCGCGUGCAGGAUGAAGGCCUUCGGGUUGUAAACUGCUUUUGUACGGAACGAAAAGACUCCUUCUAAUAAAGGGGGUCCAUGACGGUACCGUAAGAAUAAGCACCGGCUAACUACGUGCCAGCAGCCGCGGUAAUACGUAGGGUGCAAGCGUUAAUCGGAAUUACUGGGCGUAAAGCGUGCGCAGGCGGUUAUAUAAGACAGAUGUGAAAUCCCCGGGCUCAACCUGGGAACUGCAUUUGUGACUGUAUAGCUAGAGUACGGUAGAGGGGGAUGGAAUUCCGCGUGUAGCAGUGAAAUGCGUAGAUAUGCGGAGGAACACCGAUGGCGAAGGCAAUCCCCUGGACCUGUACUGACGCUCAUGCACGAAAGCGUGGGGAGCAAACAGGAUUAGAUACCCUAGUAGUCCCUGAGCGGGCUGGCAAGGCGCAU